AUGGAGGACGUGGCCGUGGCUGCGCUCGCCACGACGCCCACACCUGUGUUUAGCCCCGCCACGGCCGGGCUCACGCUAAUCGCCGCCGCGGCUGCGGAACCGAUUGCGGCCGUUGUGGCGGGGGCCAUGGAGGGGGUGCCGGUCACCUUUUCAGUGCCGCCGGUCAGAACCACCACGGACGACGGGCUGCCAACAGCAACUGGAGGGGAAGGGGGAGAGGCCUCGGCAGCGGGGAGCCCGUGCUCGGUCACCAGCGACUGCAGCAGCGUGGCAAGCGCGGAUUUCGAGGGGGUGGGUCUGGGCUUCUUCGGUGCGGGGGUCGAGGGGGGCGCGGUGGUGUUCGAGGACUCGGCGGCUUCUGCGGCCACCGUCGAGGCGGAGGCGAGGGUCGCGGCCGGGGGGAGGAGCGUCUUCGCUGUCGAAUGCGUUCCGCUCUGGGGGUUUACAUCAAUUUGCGGCCGCCGCCCGGAGAUGGAGGAUGCGGUCGUCGCUGUGCCGCGAUUCUUCGGCCUGCCCCUCUGGAUGCUCACGGGCAACAAUAUGGUCGAUGGACUCGAUCCCAUCUCCUUCCGCCUCCCCGCACACUUUUUUGGUGUAUACGAUGGCCACGGCGGUGCACAGGUAGCAGAUUACUGUCGGGAUCGGCUCCACGCAGCGCUGGUGGAGGAGCUGAGCAGGAUAGAAGGGUCCGUGUCUGGUGCUAACCUGGGAGCUGUGGAGUUUAAGAAGCAGUGGGAAAAGGCGUUUGUGGAUUGCUUCUCAAGGGUGGAUGAUGAGAUAGCUGGUAAGGCGACCAGGGGAGGAGGGGGAAACGUGGGCACAAGCAGUGUCACUGCAAUGGCCAUUGCAGAUCCUGUAGCACCUGAGACCGUCGGUUCAACGGCGGUGGUCGCUGUCAUCUGCUCAUCUCAUAUCAUUGUCUCAAAUUGUGGAGACUCGAGGGCAGUGCUCUGCCGUGGAAAGCAACCCGUGCCGUUGUCAGUGGAUCAUAAACCUAAUAGGGAGGAUGAGUACGCAAGGAUUGAGGCAGAGGGUGGCAAGGUCAUACAGUGGAAUGGCUACCGAGUUUUCGGUGUCCUUGCCAUGUCGCGAUCAAUUGGUGACAGAUAUCUGAAACCAUGGAUAAUUCCUGUCCCAGAGGUCACAAUUGUUCCUCGGGCGAAGGAUGAUGAGUGCCUUAUUCUUGCCAGUGAUGGCCUCUGGGAUGUACUGUCGAAUGAAGAGGUAUGCGAUGUUGCCCGCAAGCGAAUACUCUUAUGGCAUAAAAAGAACGGGGUAAACUUAUCAUCGGCCCAACGUAGCGGUGACUCCCCAGAUCCAGCGGCUCAAGCAGCUGCUGAAUGCUUGUCGAAGCUUGCUCUCCAGAAGGGGAGCAAGGACAACAUCACGGUUAUUGUGGUAGACCUCAAGGCGCAGAGGAAGUUCAAGAGCAAAACUUAA
rnacentral:rRNA from 1 species